rnacentral:rRNA from 1 species
UACGUAGGGUGCGAGCGUUAAUCGGAAUUACUGGGCGUAAAGCGUGCGCAGGCGGUUGCACAAGUCAGAGGUGAAAUCCCCGGGCUUAACCUGGGAACUGCCUUUGUGACUGUGCGGCUAGAGUGUGUCAGAGGGGGGUAGAAUUCCACGUGUAGCAGUGAAAUGCGUAGAUAUGUGGAGGAAUACCGAUGGCGAAGGCAGCCCCCUGGGAUAACACUGACGCUCAUGCACGAAAGCGUGGGGAGCAAACAGG